UAAUAAUUUGUUAAUGAUAAUUUAAGUUAAAACUAAUGUAAAUAAACACCUUUCAUUUAUAUAUUACCUUUUUUUAAUGCAAUUGCUUUAAACCGACAUGAAAAUGUUUUUCGCUUGACUUAAUUGGCUGAACAAUGAUUUCAGAGAGGGUAGAUUAACUCUAGGUCAGUCUUUAAAAUAUUUUUUUCAAAUCUGGAAAACAUUUUAUUGUAAAAAAAUAUAUAGUUUUGCAUCUUGCCAAAGUCUUAAAAUGUAUACAAAAACAUAUUCAUUGUUAUUUAUUUUACAUCGUUAUUACAUCACCCUGGGUAUGAGGUAAUGAGAGGUGUGAUCAGUGAAGAGGAGUGGGAUCAAUGACCAUAGCUGUUUCUGAAUGUCGAGUAGAGCUGCUGCAGAGCCACUAUUUCAAGUAUACUAUGUAAUCAGCGCCAAUCGAUGACAUAGUAUACUUGAAAUAGUGGCUCUGCAGCAGCUCUACUCAACAUUCAGAAACAGCCCCUGUCUCUGUCUGCAGGUUCCUGCUCUGUGCCUCAGUGAAUACGCAGCAGCUGGGAAAAGAUGAGCUCAGAAAGCCCUGAAGGCAAAGGAAGGAAAUUGUAAAACUCCAGGGAAAGUUUGGUCCAUAUGUUGGUGAGCUGGAGGGGGAUUUCCAGUCCUUGGGAAAACCUGAAUUGUUGAUGACAC